UACGUAGGGCGCAAGCGUUGUCCGGAAUUAUUGGGCGUAAAGAGCUCGUAGGCGGUCUGUUGAGUCCGCUGUGAAAACUCGGGGCUUAACCCCGAGCCUGCAGUGGAUACGGGCAGACUAGAGGUAGGUAGGGGAGAAUGGAAUUCCCGGUGUAGCGGUGAAAUGCGCAGAUAUCGGGAGGAACACCGGUGGCGAAGGCGGUUCUCUGGGCCGAACCUGACGCUGAGGAGCGAAAGCGUGGGGAGCGAACAGG
rnacentral:rRNA from 1 species